rnacentral:rRNA from 1 species
AGAACGAACGCUGGCGGCAGGCCUCAAACAUGCAAGUCUAGGGGGUGUAGCAAUACAUCACCGGCGGACGGGUGCGUAACGCGUGGGAAUGUACCUAUUGGUUCGGAACAACUGAGGGAAACUUCAGCUAAUACCGGAUGAGCCCGCAAGGGGAAAGAUUUCUCGCCAAUAGAUCAGCCCGCGUCCGAUUAGCUAGUUGGUGGGGUUAAAGCCUACCAAGGCGACGAUCGGUAGCUGUUCUGAGAGGAAGAUCAGCCACACUGGGACUGAGACACGGCCCAGACUCCUACGGGAGGCAGCAGUUGGGAAUCUUGGACAAUGGGGAAACCCUGAUCCAGCCAUGCCGCGUGAGUGAUGAAGGCCUCCGGGUUGUAAAACUCUUUCGACGGGACGAUAAUGACGGUACCCGUAGAAGAAGCUCCGGCUAACUUCGCGCCAGCAGCCGC